UACGUAGGGUGCGAGCGUUAAUCGGAAUUACUGGGCGUAAAGCGUGCGCAGGCGGUUUGUUAAGACAGAUGGGAAAUCCCCGGGCUUAACCUGGGAACUGCAUUUGUGACUGGCAAGCUAGAGUAUGGCAGAGGGGGUAGAAUUCCACGUGUAGCAGGGAAAUGCGUAGAGAUGUGGAGGAAUACCGAUGGCGAAGGCAGCCCCCUGGGCCAAUACUGACGCUCAUGCACGAAAGCGUGGGGAGCAAACAGG
rnacentral:rRNA from 1 species